rnacentral:rRNA from 1 species
UACGUAGGGGGCGAGCGUUGUCCGGAAUUACUGGGCGUAAAGCGCUUGUAGGCGGUCCACCAAGUUUGGGGUGACAGUUGCCGACUUAAUCGGCAAAGUGCCUCAAAGACUGGCGGACUUGAGGGCCACAGAGGGACAUGGAACUCCAGGUGUAGUGGUGAAAUGCGUAGAUAUCUGGAGGAACACCAAUGGCGAAGGCAGCUCGCUGGGACGGUACUGACGCUGAGACGCGAAGGCGUGGGGAGCGAACGGG